AACUCAAAAGGAAUUGACGGGGGCCCGCACAAGCGGUGGAGCAUGUGGUUUAAUUCGAUGCAACGCGAAGAACCUUACCUACUCUUGACAUCCAGAGAAUUCGCUAGAGAUAGCUUAGUGCCUUCGGGAACUCUGAGACAGGUGCUGCAUGGCUGUCGUCAGCUCGUGUUGUGAAAUGUUGGGUUAAGUCCCGCAACGAGCGCAACCCUUAUCCUUUGUUGCCAGCGCGUCAUGGCGGGAACUCAAAGGAGACUGCCGGUGAUAAACCGGAGGAAGGUGGGGAUGACGUCAAGUCAUCAUGGCCCUUACGAGUAGGGCUACACACGUGCUACAAUGGCAUAUACAAAGAGAAGCGAACUCGCGAGAGCAAGCGGACCUCAUAAAGUAUGUCGUAGUCCGGAUUGGAGUCUGCAACUCGACUCCAUGAAGUCGGAAUCGCUAGUAAUCGUAGAUCAGAAUGCUACGGUGAAUACGUUCCCGGGCCUUGUACACACCGCCCGUCACACCAUGGGAGUGGGUUGCAAAAGAAGUAGGUAGCUUAACCUUCGGGAGGGCGCUUACCACUUUGUGAUUCAUGACUGGGGUGAAGUCGUAACAAGGUAACCGUAGGGGAACCUGCGGCUGGA
rnacentral:rRNA from 1 species